ensembl:lncRNA
GUUGAUGUGAGCCCCCGCCAUGGGAAGGAGCUUGUGUCUGGCCCUGUUAGCGGUGGCAAGGCUUGUACUGCAGCUCCGAAGCCCUUGGCAGCACGCUGGCUGCUGGGGCAUCCUGCUUCUGGGAAGCUUGUUGGAAAGGGCUGAUUACAAAUAGGCAGGUGUCCCCAGAGCUGAAAACUGUAGUCAGGAAGAGCAUUGCUUGCAUACCCCUGUCCCCAGCCUGCUCCUGCAUAUUGCUCGUGGCCACUCUGAAGACGCAGCAUGGACGGAAAAGACUCUCCCAGCAGAAACCAUUUGGUGCCUGAGGAAACUGGAGCCCUGCAGACACCUUCCAGGGAGUGGAUUUGUUGGGACAGGCGGAAGCUCACCUUCAGGAGCGGAUCUUCAGACCUCGUGCAACCCUCUCCAUUGGCUGUUCUGCUGCUCCUUCCAGCCCGGCAGCAGGUGUCACCAUCUGGAGGUCAGGGGCUGCUCUGGGUGUUUUGAAUCCAGACCAGAAUGCCUGAAACUCCUGUGGGGCACUUACUGGGCCUUGGUCCAACCAGAGCUGAUGCUAACGGGGUGCAGAGCACUGCAUAGCGCUGUAGGUGAGAGCUGUGGCACUCAGCACCUCUACAACCGCUCUCAAGGCUCUGACUUUGCUUUCUGUCCAAGGAAACGCCUUGGCUUGAUUCCAUCC